UUUUCUAGAAGCUCAAGGUUCGCCCGUGAGCUACACUCUGCCCGUUGUCGGCCCACUAACUCUGAUGAGCAAUUUUGCAAAUGCUGGACAACUGUCUCAAAGGCGUUUUGGCAAAAUCUGGUCCAGAUCAGAGGCAGGAUUCACAGAGUUGCCAUUUCAACAAAUCAAGACCAUCCCAAGAGCAUCAUCUUCCCCUGGUGAGGACACGGGAGACUUCCCUUGCUUUACUCCUAGGAGAGCUGGCUCUAAGAGGAGGUGCCACCCGCUG